rnacentral:tRNA from 1 species
UCGUAACUUAGUGGUAGAGCAAUGGUGCGUAAUGCCAGAAACCCGGGUUCGAUUCCCGGCGA